GUCUUAUUGACCUUAAGGAAAAAAUCCGUUUUCCAUGCAAUACACACCAUGCAAGCACAAGAUAAGCAGAAUAUAGAUUGAUGUAUUUUCUAUUCCCAAUAUUACAUUUGGUUGCACACAUCUGAUGUAUAAUUACCAUUUUUCUUGACACUAGAAAUUUGGGAUGCACUUCAUGCCGCUGUUGAUGCUGAUCUAACACUCGCGCAAGCAAUUGUGGACAGUGCAGGGAUCAUUGUUCAAAGUGCCGAUUUGACAGUAUGCUAUGAUGAAAGAGGUGCAAAAUAUGAAAUACCAAAAUAUGUUUUGAGUGAGCCUACAAACUUGAUCCAGGACAGCUGAAAAACUGGAACCAACGUAGCACUUGUGUGUAAGGGACCGGAUGUAGAUCGUGUAUAUCAUUCUCUUUAAAAAUCUUUAACCAAGUCUGGUUCACCUUUAUGCCAUUUAAGUCGGCUUGACCUUUUGCUGUAGGUUUGUUGAUAUCAAACUCACAGGAACCAUUUGUUUUUGCUCUUUUGAAACAUUUUCUGCAAUCACAUAGCGGGCAAUUAGUUCUUGGGCU